ACUUGCUCCGCCAAACUGACGCUACCUUUGACUUCACUUCUGAAUUAAAUUGUAUAAAGCUGGUUAAAGUACACCGCGAAAACAGAUUGAAAGGUAAUAAGUAAUGGAGGCAUUUAGUGGUUAUUCUCAACAAAGACAUUCAUUUACGAAAGAUUGACGAUUAUGAGGACAAUUCAUCUGUGGCCAAAGAACGAAACAAGGCGGAGUCGGGAAGGAGACCACGAGGAAGGCAGAUGGGUGCUGGAAGCACUGCUGGUCGAUCACCGAGGGUGGUCCCAGGUUCGUGGGUCAUGGAGGUCAGAGAAGAUCGAAGAGUGGACGGAAGACUCGAUGGUGCACAACGAUGUGCACUAAUUGACUGAACCCUGAUAAAUUCUGGUGCAGUGAAAACCUUUCUUACAGUGGUGUCACAGCUGUGUAGUCUCAGACAACAACAUAAGCUGUACACAAGUUAAACCAGACACUGAAGGGAAAAAAAGGCUGUGCAAAAUAAGAAAUUUGCAGAAAAUCAAAAGACAAUCAGAGACAACUGGAUGGUUUAUGGAACACAAUCAACAAUGAGGAAUUGUGGAGUUUUUCGUCAGUCCAUACUCUCAAUCUUCAUACAACAUAAUGCCUGGAAAUGGUUUGAAUGUCAAAGCCACCAUAUCAAUUGAAAUAAAUGAAAUGGAUAUGUAAUUUCAAAUGUUGAAUUGCCCCACCCCUCAUUCUCCCUGAUUCUGCUUGCAUUAACAUUAACAGUAUAGCACAGUAUGCUGUGCCAAUCCUUUAUCCUGUUCUAAGAUCAAUAUAAUGCUUCCAAUGCACGUUCUCCUCAAUUUUUCUAUCAUCCAUGUGCUUAUCUUAAAUGGCCCUAAUGUAUCUGCCUCCACCACCACCCCUGGCAGUGCUUUCCAGCGCCUCCCACUCGGUAUAAAAAAACUACCUCUACAUUUUCCUCCAAACACCAUAAAGUUAUGUUCCCUUGUAUUCACCAUUUCCACCCUGGGAAAAAGUCUCUGGUUAUCCACUCUGUCAUCAUUUUGUAUGCUUCCAACAAGUCACCUCUUAUCCUCCUUCUCUCCAAAGAGAAAGCUCUAGCUCACUUAACCUAUCCUCUCUAAUCCAGGCAGCAUCCUGGUAAAUCUCCUCUGCACCCUCUCUAAAGCUUCUACAUCCUUCCUAUAAUGAGGUGACCAGAACUGAACACAAUACUCCAAACGUGGUAUAACCAGAGUUUUAUUGAGCUACACAUUACCUCAAGGCUCUUGAAAUGAACCCCCCCAAUAAUGAAGUCCAACACAGCAUUCACCUUCUUAACAACCCUAUCAAAAUACUUGGCAACGUUGAAGGAUCUGUGGAUAUGGACCCCAAGAUCUCUCUGUUCCUCCACACUGUUAAGAGUCCUGCCAUUAGCCCUGCACUCUGCCUUCAUGUUCCACCUUCUAAAGUGAAUCACUUCACACUUUUUCAGAUUGAACUCUAUCUCUGGGCUACUUCUCAGCCCAGUUCUGCAUCCCAUCAAUAUCCUGUUGUAACCUUCUACAUUACCCACAAUUCCAGCAACCUUCGUGUCUUCUUAUGAACCCUCCCUCCACUUCCUCAUCAAAGUCAUUGAUGAGAAUCACAAAGAGCCAGUUAGCAUACUGCUAUUACAGCACCAGUCACAGAGGUUCAGCUCCACUGCUAUCUAUACGGAGUCUGUACAUUCUUCCCGCGACACAGUUGGUUUCUUCUUGGUGCUCUAGUUUCCUCCCAUGUCCCAAAGGCAUUCAGGUUAGCAGGUUAAUUGGUCACAUUGGUAUAACUGGGGCAGUGAGCUCGUUGGUCCGGAAAAGCCUGAUGUCAUCUCUUAAGAAAAGCAGGACAGAUCCCUGCAGAACCCCUCGUCACCAAGGUCCAGGUAGAGCUCACUCCAUCUACAUCCACCCUCGACCUUUUAUGGGUAGCAAGCCAAUUCUGAAUGCAAGAACAGUGGCUAAGCUUCCCUGGAUCCCGUGCCUCCUGACUUCCUGAAUGAGUCUACCCGGUCACCCUCUUUCUCCAUUCAUGCCACCAUUCUUGUGUUUUCUCUGGUUGUACUGUCUGUGAUCUUUACUCUCUCAGUGUGUCACCUCACUGUGUAAAUGUUCCAAGAUUCAAGAUUGUUUAACGUGACUUGCAGACUAACCGAAAGGAAAGGUAAAUAUAAAUACUUAAGAUAGCUAAUCUGGGUGGUUGUCCAUUGUGUCCAACAAUGACGGGAGCGUUUUUAAAGUGGAAAAGCCAUUACAUCGAGUUCUGAAGUCCAGGUCCAGUGGUUCAAACAAGCGUCACAAACUGGGAUCUUCCUUGGUUGCAGAGGAUGACCAUGAUGUCUCCUGGGUCUUGUUAUGCCCUUCGCUCUACAUGGAGAGUUGCAGAACUGUCUUCCUGGCCACUGGAUCUCACUAGAUCUCAUCUGCCCAGUCCACCAGAGCUGACUUUGCAGGCUGGGACAGGUAUGUCUCCAUCUCACCGGGGUAUGAGGUCACCAACUACCGACACCUGGUUUAGCCCAUCUGUCGAAGCGGUGUACCGAGGUGUGGCCGCUGUCAAAUGCAAUCAGCUACUUGGAACCACAGGUGAGAGCCAAGUGUCCAGUGGGGACCAAAGGUGAGUGAUCUGCCCCAGAAUGGACAGGACAAGCCCUUCCUGGACACCCCAUACUCUCUGAUAACAUAUACAUAGGUUGAUUUUAUGUCCAUAAAGUGACGCUAGAUGCAAUGUCUGUAUAG